GGAUGUGAGGGCAACCAGGUCAUGACGUCUCAAACACUGUUGCUGACCAGGGUUGAUUUGGCUCCUCUGGCUGGCUAGGCAGGUCCCCCAUCCCCCUCACUAUUCCAUGUGCACCUCUCUGUAGCUGCUUGUUUGGUCAAAGAGGAUGGCCUUUUACAACUAGAAGCAGAUCUCUCUUCCGUUGAGGGUCUAUGAGUACCUGUGCUUGUCAACUAGAACCUCCAAGCAAGCUCUCCUGGUCUAGAAGAGAACUGCCCGCCCCCCCCACCCCACCCCAGAACCUUGAAGCUGAGGUGCCAGGGUUUGCAG
rnacentral:snRNA from 1 species